rnacentral:rRNA from 1 species
UACGUAGGGUGCGAGCGUUGUCCGGAAUUACUGGGCGUAAAGAGCUCGUAGGUGGUUUGUCGCGUCGUCUGUGAAAUUCCGGGGCUUAACCUCGGGCGUGCAGGCGAUACGGGCAAUACUUGAGUGCUGUAGGGGAGACUGGAAUCCCUGGUGUAGCGGUGAAAUGCGCAGAUAUCAGGAGGAACACCAAUGGCGAAGGCAGGUUUCUGGGCAGUUACUGACGCUGAGGAGCGAAAGCAUGGGUAGCGAACAUGAUUAGAUA